rnacentral:ncRNA from 4 species
AGAGCUUCCUUGAGUCCAUUC